rnacentral:rRNA from 1 species
AUUGAACGCUGGCGGCAGGCCUAACACAUGCAAGUCGAGCGGAUGAGUGGAGCUUGCUCCAUGAUUCAGCGGCGGACGGGUGAGUAAUGCCUAGGAAUCUGCCUGGUAGUGGGGGACAACGUUUCGAAAGGAACGCUAAUACCGCAUACGUCCUACGGGAGAAAGUGGGGGAUCUUCGGACCUCACGCUAUCAGACGAGCCUAGGUCGGAUUAGCUAGUUGGUGAGGUAAAGGCUCACCAAGGCGACGAUCCGUAACUGGUCUGAGAGGAUGAUGAGUCACACUGGAACUGGGGCACGGUCCAGACUCCUACGGGAGGCAGCAGUGGGGAAUAUUGGACAAUGGGCGAAAGCCUGAUCCAGCCAUGCCGCGUGUGUGAAGAAGGUCUUCGGAUUGUAAAGCACUUUAAGUUGGGAGGAAGGGCAGUAAGUUAAUACCUUGCUGUUUUGACGUUACCAACAGAAUAAGCACCGGCUAACUUCGUGCCAGCCGCCGCGGUAAUAC